AUAAGGGCAGAGCCCUCAUGGUUGGGAUUAGUACCUUAUGAAAGGGCUAGAGGGAACUAGGUAGGGAUCUUUUGUUUUUUUUGUUCCUUCCGCCAUGUGAAGACACAGCAUUACUGCCAUCCAGAAGUCACAAUGACAAGGUGCCAGCUUAGAAGUAGAGAUUGAGCCCUCAUCAGACACCAAAUACUAUCAUCUUGGUCUUGGACUUCCAGACUCCAGAACUGCUGGAGUGCAGUGACAUGAUUUUGACUCACUGCAACCUCUGCCUCUCAGGUUCAAGCGAUUCUUGUGCCUCAGAUUCCCAAGUAGCUAGGAUUACAGGUCCUGAAAAGGUUGCAUCAGCCCUUUAGCCAUUACCUGCCUCUUGAUGAAGCGUCAGAGCAGGUGUGCAUACACCUGCCAGCACAGAAAAACCUUAACGUAAAGUUGAAUACAAAAAGAAAGAGUCAAAGGUCAGAGAGGAGGGAGAAGGCUGUGCUAAACAAGGUGCUGGCAGUGUCAGGAGCUGGCCUCCUGCCCUCUGGGUUGAGAGAUAUCGAGUGCUGCUUUGCCAAGAGCUGCUUUCUUGAGC
rnacentral:sRNA from 1 species